AUAAAUAAAAAAUAGACAUCGCAGCUUCACAUACACUCAGGCACGCAGACGUCAGGUGAUCAUUUAUUUUCUGUUUCACUCAGGUCUGUGACACCUCUCAGUGAGGGCCAGGUCAGGAGGCCUGCUAUCCCGGCCCACCACGACCUCAUCCUGUCUCUGCUGGCUAAGAUUGACCAGGGGGUCAUCAUUCAGACAUGCCCUGACCCAGAGGGUUCCUGUUUGGAGAAGGGGGAGGAGGAGGGAGAGGUCCGCGAGGGCCAGAGACCCAUACUGCAUCCUGCAGGGACUGCUGACUGGACACUCCCCCACCAGCCGGCCAAGGGCCAGGACAGGGCCCAGGACGGGGAGGGGGACAGAGCUUCACCCCAACCCUAGACAGGGACACGUCUCCUCCCCAGGACAGCUCACCCUGCAGUCAGUAGAAGUGGCCGGUUGACAUCAGGAACGUGGAUGUGGAACCAGAGACGCCACAUCAGCCUCCUCAGCUUGACACCUCAAUGUCACCUCCACCGCUGGAGGACUCCCUCUCCCUCAGUGCA